rnacentral:lncRNA from 1 species
GCCACUGUAUUUACUUUGAAAAAUACAUUGAGUUAUAAUGGAAAGUUCAUUGAAAAUGGCAUUGAAGUUUGUUGUGUUUUUUGUUGCUAUUGCAACAAUCCUAAUGGGAAGUGCACAUGCCACAAGAUCAAUUAAUAUUGACCCUGAAACUGCAUAUCCUGAUUGCAUCCCAAAUUGCUUCUUUCACCCAAGAUGCUGUGCACCUAUUGAUCUCACAUCACCCUAAAAUUUUAGGGUUAGUUUUACACUAAUAAUACUCUUGGAUUUGAGAAUAAAGAUCCAUUUCAUAUGUAAUGAUUGAAUAUAUAAGAUUAAAAAUGAAAAAUGAUUAUUCAUUUUUCUCUAUUUUUAUUUGAACUUUGCACAAUAUGUAAUAAGAUAUUUAUAUGAUUAAAG